GAAGCGCAAUGGGUAGCGCGUUGGACUUCUAAUCCAAAGGUCGUGGGUUCAAAUCCCUCCUGGUAUG
rnacentral:tRNA from 1 species